rnacentral:rRNA from 1 species
UGGGGAAUAUUGCACAAUGGAGGGAACUCUGAUGCAGCGACGCCGCGUGAACGAAGAAGGCUUUCGAGUCGUAAAGUUCUUUUAUAUGGGAAGAUAAUGACGGUACCAUAAGAAAAAGCCCCGGCUAACUACGUGCCAGCAGCCGCGGUAAUACGUAGGGGGCUAGCGUUGUCCGGAAUCACUGGGCGUAAAGGGUUCGCAGGCGGAAAUGCAAGUCAGGUGUAAAAGGCAGUAGCUUAACUACUGUAAGCAUUUGAAACUGCAUAUCUUGAGAAGAGUAGAAGUAAGUGGAAUUUUUAGUGUAGCGGUUAAAUGCGUAGAUAUUAAAAAGAAUACCGGUGGCGAAGGCGACUUACUGGGCUCAUUCUGACGCUGAGGAACGAAAGCGUGGGUAGCAAACAGG